rnacentral:rRNA from 1 species
UACGUAGGGUGCGGGCGUUAAUCGGAAUUACUGGGCGUAAAGGGUGCGCAGGCGGUUAUAUAAGACAGAUGUGAAAUCCCCGGGCUCAACCUGGGAACUGCGUUUGUGACUGUAUGACUAGAGUACGGUAGAGAGGGGUGGAAUUCCUGGUGUAGCAGUGAAAUGCGUAGAUAUCAGGAGGAACAUCGAUGGCGAAGGCAGCCCCUUGGACCUGUACUGACGCUCAUGCACGAAAGCGUGGGGAGCAAACAGG